AACCUUGCCACUUGGCAAAAAACAACAACUAUUUAAGGGGUAUUAGUAGGACUUCCCGAACAUUCCCUAAGGAAUCAGCAAAUAA
rnacentral:sRNA from 1 species